rnacentral:rRNA from 1 species
UACGGAAGGGGCAAGCGUUGUUCGGAAUCAUUGGGCGUAAAGGGCGCGUAGGUGGUUCUGUAUGUCUACCGUGAAAGCAUACAGCUCAACUGUAUUUUGUCGGUAGAAACUGCAGGACUUUGAGGCUGGGAGGGGCUGGUGGAAUUCCCUGUGUAGCGGUGAAAUGCGUAGAGAUGGGGGGAGAACACUCGUGGCGAAGGCGGCCAGCUAGACCAGUUCUGACACUGAGGCGCGACAGCGUGGGGAGCAAACAGG